rnacentral:rRNA from 1 species
CUAGCGACUUCAGAGUUUGAUCCUGGCUCAGGACGAACGCUGGCGGCGUGCUUAACACAUGCAAGUCGAGCGUGCAGAGGACUUCGGUCCGAAGCAAGCGGCGGACGGGUGAGUAACGCGUGAACAAUCUGUCCCAGACAGGGGGAUAACACUCUGAAAAGGGUGCUAAUACCGCAUAAGACCACGGCCUCGCAUGGGGCCUGGGGUAAAAGAUUUAUCGGUUUGGGGUGAGUUCGCGUCUGAUUAGCUAGUUGGUGAGGUAACGGCCCACCAAGGCGACGAUCAGUAGCCGAUCUGAGAGGAUGACCGGCCACAUUGGAACUGAGACACGGUCCAA